GUGCUCACUUUGGCGGCACAUAUACUAAAAAUUAGAAUGAUACAGAGAAGAUUAGCAUGGCCUCUGCACAAGGAUGACCGCAAAUCCAUGGAGCAUUCCACGUUUUU